GGCUUGCACUGAAUAUUAUUUCUUAUGAUGUUUACAUGGGGAAAAGUACUGGAUUGCUCACAGGCCACAAGUACUGGCACUGUCCCAAGUAAUGAAGAUACAAGAGUAAACAAAGAGUUCUACGUCCGUACCUCCCCAAAGGGGAAAUGGAAAACAGUUUGAUGUUUUUCUGAAUUCAUGGAGUUAUCACUGACCUUCUGUCUUCUUAAAAUCUCUACAGAGACUGUGGGUCACUGACCCUCAUGAAUACUCACACCACUCAGGACUUUGGGAUUUGGAGAAAGGCGGCUGUGCCAGGUCAUCUGGUUAGAAGCGCCCUGCUUUGUGCUCCAGUGGCCUCCUGUACUUCCUCAAUCAUAUACACUCACACCUUAGUGCUGCUGCUUGACGGACUUCUGUGCUGGAGACGUGUUGUGUAUAUGAGUUAAACAUAUCAAGCUAAUAUAUCGUGGUGGACAGAAUAACGAAGAGUGCAGACCAUGGAGCCAGGUAGCCUGAGUUUGAGAAUCUUGGUUCCACCACUUACUAGCUGCAUGGCUUUUGGCAAUGGUGGCUGGCCUCUCUGAUUUUCCUGGGAGUGUUGCCUUGGCUACGAGAAGCUGAGAGCUCAAGGUGAGCCUGGAUCUGCACCUGCAGCAGCAAUAUUUCCAGCAUAUGCUUCAGCAUCAACCUUUACUGUGGAGUGCUGGGGCCAAGAGAGGCAGAAGUCCGGUGGAGAUUUGGAUCUGGGUCCCCAAACUACCAUUUUAUUCCCAAUAGUCAAAGAUCUAAGAGUGUUUUCAAUAGGCUAUUGUGAUUAACAUCAAUUAAAAGAAAAAGAAACUAUUUCUC
rnacentral:lncRNA from 1 species